rnacentral:rRNA from 1 species
AAAAAAGGUAAGCUACUAAGAGCGAAUGGUGGAUGCCUUGACUGGUAAAGGCGAUGAAGGACGUACUAGACUGCGAUAAGCUACGGGGAGCUGUCAAGAAGCUUUGAUCCGUAGAUUUCCGAAUGGGGCAACCCAAUGUAUAGAGAUAUACAUUACCUAUAUAGGAGCGAACGAGGGGAAUUGAAACAUCUUAGUACCCUCAGGAAAAGAAAUCAAUAGAGAUUGCGUCAGUAGCGGCGAGCGAAAGCGCAAGAGGGCAAACCCAGUGCUUGCACUGGGGGUUGUAGGACUGCAAUGUGCAAGAGGUGAGUUUAGCAGAACAUUCUGGAAAGUAUAGCCAUAGAGGGUGAUAGUCCCGUAUGCGAAAAACAAACCUUAGCUAGCAGUAUCCUGAGUAGGGCGGGACACGAGAAAUCCUGUCUGAAGCUGGGUCGACCACGAUCCAACCCUAAAUACUAAUACCAGAUCGAUAGUGCACAAGUACCGUGAGGGAAAGGUGAAAAGAACUGAGGUGAUCAGAGUGAAAUAGAACCUGAAACCAUUUGCUUACAAUCAUUCAGAGCCCUAUGUAGCAAUACAGGGUGAUGGACUGCCUUUUGCAUAAUGAGCCUGCGAGUUGUGGUGUCUGGCAAGGUUAAGCAAACGCGAAGCCGUAGCGAAAGCGAGUCUGAAUAGGGCGCUUAGUCAGAUGCUGCAGACCCGAAACGAAGUGAUCUAUCCAUGAGCAAGUUGAAGCUAGUGUAAGAACUAGUGGAGGACUGAACCCAUAGGCGUUGAAAAGCCCCGGGAUGACUUGUGGAUAGGGGUGAAAGGCCAAUCAAACUUCGUGAUAGCUGGUUCUCUCCGAAAUAUAUUUAGGUAUAGCGUUGUGUCGUAAUAUAAGGGGGUAGAGCACUGAAUGGGCUAGGGCAUACACCAAUGUACCAAACCCUAUCAAACUCCGAAUACCUUAUAUGUAAUCACAGCAGUCAGGCGGCGAGUGAUAAAAUCCGUCGUCAAGAGGGAAACAACCCAGACUACCAGCUAAGGUCCCUAAAUCUUACUUAAGUGGAAAACGAUGUGAAGUUACUUAAACAACCAGGAGGUUGGCUUAGAAGCAGCCAUCCUUUAAAGAAAGCGUAAUAGCUCACUGGUCUAGUGAUUUUGCGCGGAAAAUAUAACGGGGCUAAAGUAAGUACCGAAGCUGUAGACUUGCGCACAACUUAGAUUAUUUAAGUUUAGAAUAUGAGAAACUAAGUUAUAUGUUUAGUUAUAUUUUUACUGAUUUUUAUAGAGUAAAGAUAGAAAUAAAACUUAGUAAAAUCAGUAAAAAUAUUCUUAGAUUAAAGUUAAGUAGUUUAAGUUGUGUGCAAGUGGUAGGAGAGCGUUCUAUUUGCGUCGAAGGUAUACCGGUAAGGAGUGCUGGAGCGAAUAGAAGUGAGCAUGCAGGCAUGAGUAGCGAUAAUUAAUGUGAGAAUCAUUAACGCCGUAAACCCAAGGUUUCCUACGCGAUGCUCGUCAUCGUAGGGUUAGUCGGGUCCUAAGUCGAGUCCGAAAGGGGUAGACGAUGGCAAAUUGGUUAAUAUUCCAAUACCAACAUUAGUGUGCGAUGGAAGGACGCUUAGGGCUAAGGGGGCUAGCGGAUGGAAGUGCUAGUCUAAGGUCGUAGGAGGUUAUACAGGCAAAUCCGUAUAACAAUACUCCGAGAACUGAAAGGCUUUUUGAAGUCUUCGGAUGGAUAGAAGAACCCCUGAUGCCGUCGAGCCAAGAAAAGUUUCUAAGUUUAGCUAAUGUUGCCCGUACCGUAAACCGACACAGGUGGGUGGGAUGAGUAUUCUAAGGCGCGUGGAAGAACUCUCUUUAAGGAACUCUGCAAAAUAGCACCGUAUCUUCGGUAUAAGGUGUGGUUAGCUUUGUAUUAGGAUUUACUCCGAAAGCAAGGAAACUUACAACAAAGAGUCCCUCCCGACUGUUUACCAAAAACACAGCACUCUGCUAACUCGUAAGAGGAUGUAUAGGGUGUGACGCCUGCCCGGUGCUCGAAGGUUAAUUGAUGGGGUUAGCAUUAGCGAAGCUCUUGAUCGAAGCCCGAGUAAACGGCGGCCGUAACUAUAACGGUCCUAAGGUAGCGAAAUUCCUUGUCGGUUAAAUACCGACCUGCAUGAAUGGCGUAACGAGAUGGGAGCUGUCUCAAAGAGGGAUCCAGUGAAAUUGUAGUGGAGGUGAAAAUUCC